CUCAGGCAGAACUUGGCAGCCAUUGAAACUCACAAGUGUAUGGUAACCUCCCCAAGAGAAUAAGAGUGGGAAGUCCAUUCUUUCCUCCAUGGUUCAUUCCUGUUGACCUUCUGUUUGUCCCGCUCUACACUGGCUUGGUCAGAGAUCUCACCCACUCAGAGAUAUACUGAUCCAUAAUGCCUAGUUGGACUGGAGCUUAUUGAUGAUAGAGUCCCACUUCUUGGAAGAAAACCAGAAAUGAAGAGAUUAUUUGCUUCUCAAAUACACCAAACAACAGAAAUGCAGGAGUGAAUGCAGCAGCCAAAGACUGCAACAACAGCAGAGUGACAACAGAGAGACCAGUAAUAGAAUUCUUUCUAAAUAUACACAAGGACAUAGGGAUGAAGGCAGAAGUCUGAUAGAAGUAGCAGUGAAGAGCUCAAGCCCCUGA
rnacentral:lncRNA from 1 species